UUCUGAUGGUGGCUCACCAGGUCAUCCAGCAUCCACAGGUCCACCGACUCACUUGUCUCACAGCUGCUUUCACUCAGCUGAGCCACCAUCUGCUCGGGCUCCAAUCCCAGAAACGUUUCUAGGCUUGAGAUUUGUUCUUUCAGCUCAUAAUCACUCCCCAAUUCUUUUUGAUAUCCGAGGCCAAGACCCAUGUAUGUUUGCGGUGCUGGUACGCUGCAGGUUUGGAAGGUAGCAGGAGACAUCUCAGGAGCGAUGAGGCACCUUUUCUUGGAUGAUGGUUGUAGUGGUGGUGGUGACUGCCCAAAAUUGAGCUUAGCC
rnacentral:misc_RNA from 1 species